rnacentral:rRNA from 1 species
UACGAAGGGGGCUAGCGUUGUUCGGAAUCACUGGGCGUAAAGGGCGCGUAGGCGGCUUUAUAAGUCGGGGGUGAAAGCCUGUGGCUCAGCCACAGAAUUGCCUUCGAUACUGUAGAGCUUGAGACCGGAAGAGGUAAGUGGAACUGCGAGUGUAGAGGUGAAAUUCGUAGAUAUUCGCAAGAACACCAGUGGCGAAGGCGGCUUACUGGUCCGGUUCUGACGCUGAGACGCGAAAGCGUGGGGAGCAAACAGG